UAGGGAAUAUUGGACAAUGGGGGCAACCCUGAUCCAGCCAUGCCGCGUGAGUGAAGAAGGCCCUCGGGUUGUAAAGCUCUUUUGUCCGGAAAGAAAAGCAUUCGGUGAAUACCCGGAUGUUCUGCCGGUACCGGAAGAAUAAGCACCGGCUAACUUCGUGCCAGCAGCCGCGGUAAUACGUAGGAGGCGAGCGUUAUCCGGAUUUACUGGGCGUAAAGCGCACGCAGGCGGCUCUGUUAGUCGGACGUGAAAGCUCUCGGCUUAACCGGGAGAGGCCGUUCGAUACUGCGGGGCUUGAGGUAGGGAGAGGAAUGCGGAAUUCCCGGUGUAGUGGUGGAAUGCGUAGAUAUCGGGAGGAACACCUGUGGCGAAAGCGGCAUUCUGGCCCUCACCUGACGCUGAGGUGCGAAAGCGUGGGUAGCAAACA
rnacentral:rRNA from 1 species